UGAGGAAUAUUGCGCAAUGGGGGAAACCCUGACGCAGCAACGCCGCGUGUGGGAAGAAGGCCUUCGGGUCGUAAACCACUUUUGCACGGGACGAAAAAGGGAUAUCGAACAAAUAUCCCCGAUGACGGUACCGUGAGAAUAAGCCACGGCUAACUCUGUGCCAGCAGCCGCGGUAAGACAGAGGUGGCAAGCGUUGUUCGGAAUUACUGGGCGUAAAGAGUCUGUAGGUGGUUUGUCAAGUCUUUGGUGAAAGGCCGUAGCUUAACUAUGGGAAUGCCAAAGAGACUGGCAGGCUGGAGGCUGGGAGAGGGAAGCGGAAUUUCUGGUGUAGCGGUGAAAUGCGUAGAUAUCAGAAGGAAGGCCGGUGGCGAAGGCGGCUUCCUGGAACAGUCCUGACACUGAGAGACGAAAGCGUGGGGAGCAAACAGGAUUAGAUACCCUGGUAGUCCACGCCCUAAACGAUGGGUACUAAGUGUGGAGGGGUUAAACCCU
rnacentral:rRNA from 1 species